GACGAACGCUGGCGGCGUGCUUAACACAUGCAAGUCGAACGAUGAAGCCCAGCUUGCUGGGCGGAUUAGUGGCGAACGGGUGAGUAAUACGUGAGUAACCUGCCUUUAACUCUGGGAUAAGCCUUGGAAACGGGGUCUAAUACCGGAUACGACCAACCCUCGCAUGGGGUGUUGGUGGAAAGGGAUUUUGUACUGGUUUUAGAUGGGCUCACGGCCUAUCAGCUUGUUGGUGAGGUAACGGCUCACCAAGGCGACGACGGGUAGCCGGCCUGAGAGGGUGACCGGCCACACUGGGACUGAGACACGGCCCAGACUCCUACGGGAGGCAGCAGUGGGGAAUAUUGCACAAUGGGCGCAAGCCUGAUGCAGCGACGCCGCGUGAGGGAUGA
rnacentral:rRNA from 1 species